CCGAUCUUUAGCUCAGCAGGAAGAGCGAAGGACUGUAAUUGUGCAGAGACAUCCUUAGGUCGCUCUGUCGAUCCAGGCAGAUCGGA
rnacentral:tRNA from 1 species